GAUGAACGCUGGCGGCGUGCCUAAUACAUGCAAGUCGAGCGAAGCGGGGACGGGUGAGUAACACGUGGAUAACCUCCUAUAAGACGGGGAUAACUUCGUGAAACCGGAGCUAAAACGGAAACUGAUAGAUUGAUCCGCUCUGCAGUAGCUAGGUGGUAAGGUAACGGAUUCUCAAGGCAACGAUGCAUAGCAGACCUGAGAGGGUGAUCGGCCACACUGGAACUGAGAGACGGUCCAGACUCCUCCGUGAGGCAGCAGUAGGGAAUGUUCCGCAAUGGGCGAAAGCCUGACGGAUCAACGCCGCGUGAGUGAUGAGGGUCUUCGGAUCGUAAAACUCUGUGAUUAGGGAAGCGGUACCUAAUCAGAAAGCGACGGCUAACUACGUGCCAGCAGCCGCGGUAAUAC
rnacentral:rRNA from 1 species